CCUACGGGAGGCAGCAGUGAGGAAUAUUGGUCAAUGGACGAGAGUCUGAACCAGCCAAGUAGCGUGAGGGAUGAAUGCCCUAUGGGUUGUAAACUUCUUUUAUAUGGGAAUAAAAUCUUCCACGUGUGGGAUUUUGUAUGUACCAUGUGAAUAAGGAUCGGCUAACUCCGUGCCAGCAGCCGCGGUAAUACGGAAGAGCCGAGCGUUAUCCGGAUUUAUUGGGUUUAAAGGGAGCGUAGGUGGAGUGUUAAGUCAGUUGUGAAAUUUUGCGGCUCAACCGUCCAAGUGCAGUUAAAACUGGCCGCCUUGAGUACACUACAGGUAGGCGGAAUUCGUGGUGUAGCGGUGAAAUGCAUAGAUAUUACGCAGAACACCGAUUGCGAAGGCAGCUUGCUGGGGCGCAUCUGACACUGAUGCACGAAGGUGCGGGGAUCGAACAGGAUUAGAUACCCGGGUAGUC
rnacentral:rRNA from 1 species